UUGUUGGCUAUUCCUAUCACUACGGUUGCCUCAGAGUCGGCGUUUAGUACUGGAGGUCGUGUGUUAGAUGCUUAUCGGAGUUCAUUAUCAGCUUCAACUGUGGAGGCCCUCAUUUGUACAUAGAAUUGGCUAUGUGAAAUGCCCAUUGGAGUAGAUAUCAUUGAUCCCGAAAGCUAUAGGCUUGAAUCAGACCUACUCGUGAACCCUAGCAUAGUUGCAGAUGAGUGAUAAUUGUGGAUGAGUUACAAGUACAUGGAUGGGUGAUGCUAUUCAGAUAAAACAUUAUGAGAAUGAAUACCGAAUGGUGGUGGCUACUGGUUUAAAUUUCAGGAAUCAAGACUUUUUUCCUUUCUCGAUGUUCAAGA